GCCGGGGUGCCCGAGUGGUUAAGGGGCUGGCCUUGAGAGCCCUCUAAGGGAGCCAGUACGGGUCACCGUGCGCGGGUUCGAAUCCCGCCCCCGGCG
rnacentral:tRNA from 1 species